rnacentral:rRNA from 1 species
GAACCUUACCUGGCCUUGACAUGGUAGGAACCCUUAAGAGAUUAGGGGGUGCUAGCUUGCUAGAACCUACACACAGGUGCUGCACGGCUGUCGUCAGCUCGUGUCGUGAGAUGUUGGGUUAAGUCCCGCAACGAGCGCAACCCUCGUCUUUAGUUGCUAACAGUUAGGCUGAGCACUCUAAAGAGACUGCCUCCGUAAGGAGGAGGAAGGUGAGGACGACGUCAAGUCAUCAUGGCCCUUACGGCCAGGGCUACACACGUGCUACAAUGGGGCGUACAGAGAGCUGCAAUACCGCGAGGUGGAGCCAAUCUCUUAAAGCGUCUCUCAGUUCGGAUUGUUCUUUGCAACUUGAGAACAUGAAGCUGGAAUCACUAGUAU